UUAUCCAAAGAAGUGAAAAGGGAAUCAGGUGUAAAUCCUGAACAGACCCACUGCUGUAAGCUUUUAUAACUUUCUAAUAAAUACUACAAUAUCCACUGUCGGUAGAUGAUGGGAAGGGCAGUUAGAAAGGAAGCGAGUCAGAAGACCUGCCUAAAAAUAC
rnacentral:ncRNA from 1 species